GGCUCCUUGUGGGAUAAUAUAAGAUGGGGGGUCUGGCCUGCCCGGUGACAGGCAUGUUAAACGGCCGCAGUAUAUUAACUGUGCGAAGGUAGCGUAAUAAUUUGCCUAUUGAUUGUGGGCUAGAAUGAAUGGCUUGACGAAGGCUAAACUGUCUCUUUAUAAUUAUUUAGAAAUUAUUUUUUAGGUGAAGAUUCCUAAAUGUGACUGAGGGACGAUAAGACCCUAUCGAGCUUUAGUAUAUUUUAAGCUUAGUUAUUCAAAUUUGUAUUUAAGUGCUUAAAUGAAUCUUUGGUUGGGGCGAUUAGGAAGUAGAAUAAACCUUUUGUGUAAAUUUUAUGUCGAUGGAUAUAAGAUCUGGUAUAUUAUACAGAUCACAAGAUAAGUUACCGUAGGGAUAACAGCGUAAUCCUCUUGGAAAGUUCUUAUUGAGAAGAGGGCUUGCGACCUCGAUGUUGGACUAAGAUAUCCUAAGGGUGUAGCAGCUUUUAAGGGUUAGUCUGUUCGACUAUUAAAAUCUUACA
rnacentral:rRNA from 1 species